GACGAACGCUGGCGGCGUGCUUAACACAUGCAAGUCGAACGGAAAGGCCCUGCUUUUGUGGGGUGCUCGAGUGGCGAACGGGUGAGUAACACGUGAGUAACCUGCCCUUGACUUUGGGAUAACUUCAGGAAACUGGGGCUAAUACCGGAUAGGAGCUCCUGCUGCAUGGUGGGGGUUGGAAAGUUUCGGCGGUUGGGGAUGGACUCGCGGCUUAUCAGCUUGUUGGUGGGGUAGUGGCUUACCAAGGCUUUGACGGGUAGCCGGCCUGAGAGGGUGACCGGGCACAAUAGGACUGAGAUACGCACCAGACGCCUACGGGAGGCAGCGGGGGGGAGUAUGGCACAAUGAGCGGAAGCCUGAUGAGGCGGCGCCGCGUGCGGGAAGACGGCCUUCGGGUUGUAAACCGCUUUCGCCUGUGACGAAGCGUGAGUGACGGUAAUGGGUGAAGAAGCACCGGCUAACUACGUG
rnacentral:rRNA from 1 species